GGGGAGAGAGAGACUACGUUUCCAUGGAUUAAGAACUGCGCAAUUUCCUAAUAGCCAUCGCUGUGAUCCUGGUGUCCUCCUAAAAAUCAAAAACGCGUAUUUGGAUUGAACAUGCUUGUGGCAAACCUGUGCGCGGUGCACGCAGCUACGACGUAUGUGGAUUGGCGAUUUUGAAAAGGGAUGUUCAGUUCUUAGUUCUGAGAGGACUGUACAUUCAUUUUGGAGGACGAUAUGACUGUGCAAUAUAUAGAAUUACUGGUCGGGUUUUCGAAUAUGUAACAAGAAGAGUCUGAUCGUAAUGCCAUGCCAAUGGGUGAUUCUCUAAACGCUCUAAGCAAGGAUUUCAUCAUGUAUCUGCGUGUAGUUUCGCCAAACCGAUAUUUUCAAAUGCAUUAUGGAUUUUUGGAACAUUAUUCACCUAUUACUUAAUUUUGUUAACGUUUUUGGAGGGCUGCGUGGCUGAACUAACGUAAUUUGGGGCAAAGAAGCUACAUAGCCGUUUUUUAUGUUAGAGUAUUAUAACAAUGAGAGCAGCAACGGCACCUCCCAUGAGAAAUAUGCACGCACAAACAGCAGGAUGCCUACCAUGGCACAGCCUCGGUAUGCUGCCAGCCUGGUAUCACCUGAACGAACAUUAGAGAUGUGAACCUGCAGUAGGCAUCAUGGUCGGGGCUUUGCAGCAGCAGCAGGGAGCCAUUCAAAAUGGAGUUUGGGAAUGGGCGGCAGUCUGGUCGGAGGGAGCGUGCAGUUGUCCAGGUACAGGCGAUACCCGGCCCACGCAGGUACACACCCACACACACAGAACAGACAUGGUGGGAGGACAACACUGGCAGGUGAGACAUGUUCUAAUAGAUUAUCGAUGCGCUGCUGUGCCAGUCGGUUGGCUGAGCCAGGAGCUGGAAAUGGGCUGAGAGUCCCUUGUUGGAAGACAGACACACACACACCUGCUAGGGUUCUUAUAGAAAGCUGAGCUCCGUUCUGUCUCAGCUCAGGGGAGGGGAAAGAGAAGAGAGGCAGAGGGAGGAUGCAGAGUAGAGGAGGGAGAGAGAGGAGGGAGAGAGAGCGGAAGAAAGAGAGGAGGAGGAGGGAGCCGGUCACUCAGACAGAUAUUCACACAG